UGCAACUUUCCUUGCCUGCUCACGCACGUGACUCAUCUGUCUUGCCACGUUAUUGCAUUUGCACGUCUGUAAGUGUUCUGUUCGAUCCUUGAAAGGAAGACUUUUUGUUAACAGAUGGAUAUCAAGAAAGAGAUCAGUGUCCUGGUGCAAUGUUACUUACAUCAAUCCAAGUAUGUUGCCAUAGUAUUGCUGGAGGAGUGCUUGGCGUUACAACAGAAAUACCCUUCAGCUAAUGCUGUCAAAGUGGCAAAUACUAUGAGACUGUUUGGUAGCUGUUUUAUGGAACAAAACAAACUCUCUGUAGCAGAAAGAUUAUUGAGAGAUUCUGCUGAUACAAAGAAUCCUGCUCUUCCGGAAGGUCAUCCUGAUCUUGCACAUGGUAUGUGUUCAUUGUCUGAUACGAUUGUAAGACAUAUCACUCUUCAUACUAAAACAACUCUACUCAGCUCACGUGGAGUGAGUGUGUUGUCUAUAUAUUAAUAUCAUCAUUAAUUGUUAUCUUGUUCAGGUCAGUUAACAGUUGCUCAGUGUCUGCACCAUCAAGGUAAAGUAAGUGCAUCAAUCAAGCUGAGGAAGGAGUGUGUCAGGAUCUAUAAAUCAUCUUUUUAUCUUGAACAUCGUCAUGUGGCUGCAGCUGUUGGUCAACUUGGAUAUUAUUUACUGGUAGCUGGACAUUUGGAUGAAAGCAAAAAACAUUUGGAGAAUCUCUUGCCAUAGUCAGACAUUCACUACACAAGAAACAUCCUGAUACAGCAAUUUCAUUGAAAGGUUUGGCAGAAUGUCUGAUGAGAAAAGGGAAGAACAUUGAAGCAGAAAGACUUUUCUUUGAAGCUGUCAACAUUGAAGCAGUUUAGCUCCAUGAAAAUCAUCCCAACAAAAUCUACAGUCAGAAUUUGUAUGAGAAACUCAGAAUGGUCAUUGUGGCGAGAUGUUGUAGAAGUGCAGUAUCCAACUGAAUAUCUACAAGGCGAAGUGGUGGAGUUUUACCUCGCACUGAAAGCAGUUCACAAACUAUCCACAGCAGCUGAUUUGCCAAAUUCCCGUUUACCUUCUCACUCUCCUCUUCCAGAUGAAGAACAGGAAGCAUCCUACUUCUGUAGCGAAGAGGGUCUACAUUCUUGUGGCUUUACAUCUUCAUCAACAGCGCAAAGGGAUAGUACUUCAUCACAAAGAUCAAUAUUACAACAACCUGCCAAUGUACACACUGUCAGACAAUGUGCUGUUGGUCCCAGUUAUAGCAAAGUUCAAGAGAGAAGCUCAUUGCUAGUUCGUCUUCCUGUUGGCAAUGAAGUUCCUUACAGAGGAUGUACUUUCCGGUAGAUAGAUACUACAGGUCAGACAGUUGAAGAAGUUCCAGGAGAAAGGCUGGAUAGUCGUACAAUAGAAACUGUUACUCCUGCUUGGCCACAUGCUGAUCGAGUGGAGAUACACAUAUUUCCUCAGAUGGUCAAACUCGUUUGGGAUAUUUUGUACACGUUUUCAUUGACUCGUCUGCAGAGGUGUGACCUGAUUGUGAGGGUAACAGCAGUAUGCUACCAGGAGUAGUAGAUCAAGGAACAGAGAAAGAACAUUCUUCAGUUCGGCCAGUCUGUGUUGCGAAGAGGAGGAGAUUGUCAAGUUACAGAUGCGACGAGUUAGACUUGCAAGCAAUUGUGUCUGAUUUACAGUUUCUUGAGGUUGGCAUGGAUGUCAGAAGUAAUUGGUAUGAGAUUGGUAUUCAUCCUGGAGUCGACUUAGAAGAGUUGUUUGAUUGUAAAGAUUGUUUCCCCAAAACUUGGCUGCUCGCCUCAUACAUAUCUUCUCACUGUGGAGAAAACGAGAGCAGAAAGCAACUAUUGCAAUAUUCCUGGAAGCAUGGAGCCAAGCAAGUGUCGGUGCAUGCAUCAGAGAAAGCAGUGAAGAAGGCAAAAAUCAAAAGUGAAAUUGGAUGGAAUUACGUACUCUCAAUGACUCAAAUUUCAGUUAAGUUUUUUUACAUUUUUUCUAUUGUAUCUAGAAUGGUGUCAUUGACUCAAGGAUUUCCUAAUUGUUGCUAAUAACAUAUCCAUCUACUGUA